GGUUGUUGUAACUGAUCUGUAGCUGUUUUCUCUCUUUAGUAAGGUUGUUGUAACUGAUCUGUAGCUGUUUUUUCUCUUCAGUAAGGUUGUUGUAACUGAUCUGUAGCUGUUUUCUCUCUUCAGUAAGGUUGUUGUAACUGAUCUGUAGCUGUUUUCUCUCUUCAGUAAGGUUGUUGUAACUGAUCUGUAGCUGUUUUCUCUCUUUAGUAAGGUUGUUGUAACUGAUCUGUAGCUGUUUUUUCUCUUCAGUAAGGUUGUUGUAACUGAUCUGUAGCUGUUUUCUCUCUUCAGUAAGGUUGUUGUAACUGAUCUG